UUGCUAUCUGCGAUAUGGAAGAUUCGAACCUGCCGCAGGUUCGGGUCGAACGCAGUGAGACAACGGAGCCGUUUACGGCGACGGCCCGAAGGGCGAGCGAAGCGAGUCAUCCUGCACGACUCAUCA
rnacentral:sRNA from 2 species